AACCGAGCGGUGAGCACAGAGCGAACUAUUCUUUCGCCUUUUACUAAAGAAUACCGUGUGCUCGCCGCACUCAUCGGUAUACACCUAUUUUUGUAGGGAAUACUCCACUUUUGUGGAGG
rnacentral:snRNA from 1 species